rnacentral:tRNA from 2 species
GUCCAUGUGGCUCAAUUGGCAGAAGCACUUGAUUCAGGGUCAAGUAGAUAAGAGUUCGAAUCUCUUCAUGGAUA